AACGAACGCUGGCGGCAUGCCUAACACAUGCAAUUCGAACGAGACCUUCUGGUCUAGUGGCGCACGGGUGCGUAACGCGUGGGAACCUGCCCUUAGGUUCGGAAUAACUCCCCGAAAGGGGUGCUAAUACCGGAUAAUGUCUUCGGACCAAAGAUUUAUCGCCUUUGGAUGGGCCCGCUUUGGAUUAGCUAGUUGGUAGGGUAAAAGCCUACCAAGGCGACGAUCCAUAGCUGGUCUGAGAGGAUGAUCAGCCACACUGGGACUGAGACACGGCCCAGACUCCGACGGGAGGCAGCAGUGGGGAAUAAUGGACAAUGGGCGAAAGCCUGAUCCAGCAAUGCCGCGUGAGUGAUGAAGGGUUUAGGGUUGUAAAGCUCUUUUACCCGGGAUGAUAAUGACAGGACCGGGAGAAUAAGCUCCGGCGAACUCCGU
rnacentral:rRNA from 1 species